rfam:Trichophyton interdigitale MR816 cont1.120, whole genome shotgun sequence.
CCAAAUGACGAGAAAAAUUCGAUUAGCUCUAGAUCAAGAGUUGCUCACGCAGCUAUGAACGAUUAUCAUGUAUUAUCCGAUGG